UACAGAGGGUGCGAGCGUUGUCCGGAAUCACUGGGCGUAAAGGGCGCGUAGGCGGCUCGGCACGUCCGUUGUGAAAUCGCCCGGCUCAACUGGGCGGGGUCGGCGGAUACGGCCGAGCUGGAGCAAGCUAGGGGGUAAUGGAAUUCCCGGUGUAGUGGUGGAAUGCGUAGAUAUCGGGAGGAACACCAGUGGCGAAGGCGGUUACCUGGAGCUUUGCUGACGCUGAUGCGCGAAAGCGUGGGGAGCGAGUCCGG
rnacentral:rRNA from 1 species